rnacentral:rRNA from 1 species
AUUGAACGCUGGCGGCAGGCCUAACACAUGCAAGUCGAACGAGCGGCGGACGGGUGAGUAAUGUCUGGGAAACUGCCCGAUGGAGGGGGAUAACUACUGGAAACGGUAGCUAAUACCGCAUACCAUCGGAUGAGCCCCUAUGGGAUUAGCUAGUAGGUGGGGUAAAGGCUCACCUAGGCGACGAUCCCUAGCUGGUCGGAGAGGAUGACCAGCCACACUGGAACUGAGACACGGUCCGUACUCCUACGGGAGGCAGCAGUGGGGAAUAUUGCACAAUGGGUGAAAGCCUGAUGCAGCCAUGCCGCGUGUAUGAAGAAGGCCUUAGGGUUGUAAAGUACUUUCAGCGAGGAGGCGUUACUCGCAGAAGAAGCACCGGCUAACUCCGUGCCAGCAGCCGCGGUAAUUC